rnacentral:rRNA from 1 species
CGCAAUGCUACGGGCCAGAGGGAACUUCGGGCCUCCUCGCGUCAGAUUAUGCUAGUGGAUUAGCUAGUUGUGAGGUAGGGCUCACCAGCCGACGAUCCCUAGCUGUCUGAGAGGAUGAUCAGCCACCACUGGAACUGAGACACCGGUCCAGACUCCUACGGGAGGCAGCAGUGGGGAAUAUGCACAAUGGGCGCAAGCCUGAUGCAGCCAUGCCGCGUGUGUGAAGAAGGCCUUCGGGUUGUAAAGCACUUUCAGUCGUGAGGAAGGUAGUGUAGUUAAUAGCUGCAUUAUUUGACGUUAGCGACAGAAGAAGCACCGGCUAACUCCGUGCCAGCAGCCGCGGUAAUACGGAGGGUGCGAGCGUUAAUCGGAAUUACUGGGCGUAAAGCGCAUGCAGGUGGUUUGUUAAGUCAGAUGUGAAAGCCCGGGGCUCAACCUCGGAAUUGCAUUUGAAACUGGCAGACUAGAGUACUGUAGAGGGGGGUAGAAUUUCAGGUGUAGCGGUGAAAUGCGUAGAGAUCUGAAGGAAUACCGGUGGCGAAGGCGGCCCCCUGGACAGAACUGACACUCAGAUGCGAAAGCGUGGGGAGCAAACAGGAUUAGAUACCCUGGUAGUCCACGCCGUAAACGAUGUCUACUUGGAGGUUGUGGCCUUGAGCCGUGGCUUUCGGAGCUAACGCGUUAAGUAGACCGCCUGGGGAGUACGGUCGCAAGAUUAAAACUCAAAUGAAUUGACGGGGGCCCGCACAAGCGGUGGAGCAUGUGGUUUAAUUCGAUGCAACGCGAAGAACCUUACCUACUCUUGACAUCCAGAGAACUUUCCAGAGAUGGAUUGGUGCCUUCGGGAACUCUGAGACAGGUGCUGCAUGGCUGUCGUCAGCUCGUGUUGUGAAAUGUUGGGUUAAGUCCCGCAACGAGCGCAACCCUUAUCCUUGUUUGCCAGCGAGUAAUGUCGGGAACUCCAGGGAGACUGCCGGUGAUAAACCGGAGGAAGGUGGGGACGACGUCAAGUCAUCAUGGCCCUUACGAGUAGGGCUACACACGUGCUACAAUGGCGCAUACAGAGGGCAGCCAACUUGCGAGAGUGAGCGAAUCCCAAAAAUGCGUCGUAGUCCGGAUCGGAGUCUGCAACUCAGUCCUCCCACCCCAAACACCCACCCUGCAUGCAGCACCCGUACGCUGACGGACGACCUAACGGG